GUGCUCACUUUGGCAGCACAUAUACCAAAAUUGGAACAAUACAGAGAAGAUUAGCAUGACCCCUGUGCAAGGAUGACACACAGAUUUAUGAAGUGUUCCUUAUUUUU